CUACAUGCAAGUGGAAACGCAUGAUUGAUACCGUAGCUUGCUACACCAUUAAUCAUGAGUCGCGAACGGGUGAGUAACGCGUAGGUAACCUGCCUACUAGCGGGGGAUAACUAUUGGAAACGAUAGCUAAUACCGCAUAAGAGUUUUUAACACAUGUUAGAAAUUUAAAAGGAGCAAAUGCUUCACUAGUAGAUGGACCUGCGUUGUAUUAGCUAGUUGGUAAGGUAACGGCUUACCAAGGCGACGAUACAUAGCCGACCUGAGAGGGUGAUCGGCCACACUGGGACUGAGACACGGCCCAGACUCCUACGGGAGGCAGCAGUAGGGAAUCUUCGGCAAUGGGGGGAACCCUGACCGAGCAACGCCGCGUGAGUGAAAAGAAGGUUUUUCGGAUCGUAAAGCUCUGUUGUAAGAGAAGAACGUUGAGUAGAGUGGAAAGUUACUCAAGUGACGGUAUCUUACCAGAAAGGGACGGCUAACUACGUGCCAGCAGCUGC
rnacentral:rRNA from 1 species